rnacentral:rRNA from 1 species
GACGAACGCUGGCGGCGUGCUUAACACAUGCAAGUCGAACGGAAAGGCCCUGCUUUUGUGGGGUGCUCGAGUGGCGAACGGGUGAGUAACACGUGAGUAACCUGCCCUUGACUUUGGGAUAACUUCAGGAAACUGGGGCUAAUACCGGAUAGGAGCUCCUGCUGCAUGGUGGGGGUUGGAAAGUUUCGGCGGUUGGGGAUUGACUCGCGGCUUAUCAGCUUGUUGGUGGGGUAGUGGCUUACCAAGGCUUUGACGGGUAGCCGGCCUGGGAGGGUGACCGGCCCCAAUGGGACUGAGGGACGGGCCAGGAUGCUACCGGGGGCAACGGGGGGGAAUAUUGCCCAAUGGGGCGGAGCCUGAUGCAGCGACGCCGGGUGCGGGAUGACGGCCUUCGGGUUGUAAACCGCUUUCGCCUGUGACGAAGCGUGAGUGACGGUAAUGGGUAAAGAAGCACCGGCUAACUACGUG